CGGAAGGAUCAUUAAAGAGUAAGGGUGCUCAGCGCCCGACCUCCAACCCUUUGUUGUUAAAACUACCUUGUUGCUUUGGCGGGACCGCUCGGUUCCGAGCCGCUGGGGAUUCGUCCCAGGCGAGUGCCCGCCAGAGUUAAACCAAACUCUUGUUAUUAAACCGGUCGUCUGAGUUAAAAUUUUGAAUAAAUCAAAACUUUCAACAACGGAUCUCUUGGUUCUCGCAUCGAUGAAGAACGCAGCGAAAUGCGAUAAGUAAUGUGAAUUGCAGAAUUCAGUGAAUCAUCGAAUCUUUGAACGCACAUUGCGCCCCUUGGUAUUCCGAGGGGCAUGCCUGUUCGAGCGUCAUUACACCACUCAAGCUAUGCUUGGUAUUGGGUGCCGUCCUUAGUUGGGCGCGCCUUAAAGACCUCGGCGAGGCCACUCCGGCUUUAGGCGUAGUAGAAUUUAUUCGAACGUCUGUCAAAGGAGAGGAACUCUGCCGAUUGAAACCUUUAUUUUUCUAGGUUGACCUCGGAUCAGGUAGGGAUACCCGCUGAACUUAAGCAUAUCAAUAAGGCGGGAG
rnacentral:rRNA from 1 species